AGAGUCGGCCAGGCAAUCGCUGGCGUUUUUUUACGCCGGAGGAAAGUCCGGGCUCCGUCGGGCAGGGCGCCAGGUAACGCCUGGAGGGUGCGAACCCAUGGAAAGUGCCACAGAAAACAUACCGCCUAAGCGCCAACAGCGCCGGUAAGGGUGAAAAGGUGCGGUAAGAGCGCACCGCGCGGGUGGUAACACGCCGCGGCACGGUAAACCCCGCCUGGAGCAAGACCAAAUAGGGGAGUAGCAGGACUUCGGUCCGCACCGCACGCCCGAGCGGGCUCCCGGGUAGGUCGCUAGAGGCAGCCGGUGACGGCUGUCCCAGAUGAAUGAUUGCCCGAGACAGAACCCGGCUUAUGGCCGACUCUUUUU
rnacentral:RNase_P_RNA from 1 species